rnacentral:rRNA from 1 species
CCAAUAGCGUAUAUUAAAGUUGUUGCAGUUAAAAAGCUCGUAGUUGAAUUUCGGGAUUGACGUGAUGGUCAUGCCUUAAGGGGUAUGAACUGUUACUGUUGAUUUCUCACCUUCUGGAGAAACUUGAUGUCCUUUAUUGGGUGGCUUGCGGAUCCAGGACCUUUACCUUGAAAAAAUUAGAGUGGUUAAAGCAGGCAUUUUUGCUCGAAUAGAUUAGCAUGUAAUAAUAGAAUAGGACGGCAUGGUUCUAUUUUGUUGGUUUCUAGGAUCACCGUAAUGAUUAAUAGGGAUAGUUGGGGGCAUUAGUAAUCAAUUGUCAGAGGUGAAAUUCUUGGAUUUAUUGAAGACUAACUACUGCGAAAGCAUUUGCCAAGGAUGUUUUCAUUAAUCAAGAACGAAAGUUAGGGGAUCGAAGACGAUCAGAUACCGUCGUAGUCUUAACCAUAAACUAUGCCGACUAGGAAUCAGACGAUGUUAAUUUUUUAAUGACUCGUUUGGCACCUUACG